rnacentral:rRNA from 1 species
AUGGAGAUCCGCGCCCGCGCGCCCGGCAAGAUCAUCCUCGCCGGCGAGCACGCCGUCGUCCACGGCUCUGCCGCCGUCGCCGCCGCCAUCGACCUCUACACGCAGUCCUCCCUCCACCUGCCCCCCUCAGGUGAGGGCGGCGCCGGCGAAGUGGAGGUUGACCUGACGGACUCGGGCCUCGCCUUCUCCUGGCCAUGCUCGCGCCUCCUCGAGGCGCUGGGGGAGACCUCCCGCAAGGCGGAGCUGCAGGCCCCGAGGCCCUGCUCCCCGGAGGAGCUGGCCGCCAUUGCCAGGCUCGUGGAGCUGCACGAGAUACCCGAGGCCAAGAUCUGGCUCUCCGCCGGCCUCUCCGCGUUCCUCUACCUCUACACCUCCAUCCUGGGGUGUAGGCCUGGGAAGGUCGUGGUGAGCUCUGGCCUGCCGAUGGGCGCCGGGCUUGGCUCGUCGGCUGCGUUCUCCGUGUCGUUGUCGGGCGCGCUGCUGACAGCGGCAGGUGUGGUUUCUGCUGAGGGCGCCGUUGGCGGAACGGAGUGGCAGUUGUUGGGGAAGGAUCAUCUUGAGCUGGUUAACACGUGGGCGUUCCAGGGGGAAAAGAUUAUUCAUGGCAAGCCUUCUGGCAUUGAUAACGCUGUCAGCACUUUUGGAAGCAUGAUCAAAUUCAAGAAGGGAGAAUUGACGAACCUCAAAUCUGGCAAUCCAGUCAAAAUGCUCAUUACUGAUACAAGGGUUGGUAGGAACACCAAGGCUCUGGUUGCUGGUGUGUCUGAAAGAGCAUCUAGGCAUCCCGAUGCUAUGGCUUCCGUCUUCCAUGCAGUCAACACUAUUAGUGAAGAGCUUUCCAGCAUUGUUGAGUUAGCUGCUACUGAUGAGAUAGCCAUGACCUCAAAGGAAGAAAAGCUAGCAGAACUCAUGGAGAUGAACCAAGGUUUGCUCCAGUGCAUGGGAGUCAGUCAUGCUUCUAUAGAAACCGUGCUGCGCUCGACAUUGAAGUAUAACUUGGUCUCGAAGCUCACCGGAGCUGGUGGUGGAGGCUGUGUUUUGACGUUGAUACCAACUCUAUUGUCCAAGUUAGUUUUGGAGAAGGUCACCACGGAGCUAGAAUCGCAUGGUUUCCGCUGCUUCAAAGUCGAGGUCGGUGGACAAGGUCUUCAGAUUCACCAAGGAUAA